GACGAACGCUGGCGGCGUGCUUAACACAUGCAAGUCGAACGGAAAGGCCCUGCUUUUGUGGGGUGCUCGAGUGGCGAACGGGUGAGUAACACGUGAGUAACCUGCCCUUGACUUUGGGAUAACUUCAGGAAACUGGGGCUAAUACCGGAUAGGAGCUCCUGCUGCAUGGUGGGGGGUGGAAAGUUUCGGCGGUUGGGGAUGGACUCGCGGCUUAUGAGCUUGUUGGUGGGGUAGUGGCUUACCAAGGCUUUGACGGGUCGCCGGCCUGAGAGGGUGGACGGCCACCUUGGGACUGAGAUACGGCCCAGACUCGUAUGGGGGGCAACGGUGGGGAAUCUUGCACAGUCGGAGCGAGCCUGUGGAGACAGCGCCGGGUGCGGGAUGCCGGCCUUCGGGUUAUGAACAGCUUUCGGCUGUGACGAAGCGUGAGUGACGGUAAUGGGUAAAGAAGCACCGGCUAACUACGUG
rnacentral:rRNA from 1 species